rnacentral:rRNA from 1 species
UACGGGGGGAGCAAGCGUUGUUCGGAUUUACUGGGCGUAAAGGGCGCGUAGGCGGCCUCCGCAAGUCGACUGUGAAAAUCUCCGGGCUUAACCCGGAACGGUCAGCCGAUACUGCGGGGCUAGAGUGCAGAAGGGGCAACUGGAAUUCUCGGUGGUAGCGGUGAAAUGCGUAGAUAUUCGCAAGAACACCAGUGGCGAAGGCGGCUCACUGGCCCGAUACUGACGCUGAGGCACGAAAGCGUGGAGAGCAAACAGG